GAUGAACGCUAGCGGGAGGCUUAACACAUGCAAGUCGAGGGGCAGCAUAGGGUAGCAAUACUCUGAUGGCGACCGGCAAACGGGUGAGUAACGCGUAUGCAACCUACCCUGUACAGGGGGAUAACCCGGAGAAAUUCGGACUAAUAUCCCGUAAUAAUAUCCGGAGGCAUCUUUGGAUAUUUAAAGUUCCGACGGUACGGGAUGGGCACGCGUAACAUUAGCUGGUUGGUAAGGUAACGGCUUACCAAGGCUAUGAUGUUUAGGGGUCCUGAGAGGGUGGUCCCCCGACACUGGUACUGAGACACGGACCAGAAUCCUACGGGAGGCAGCAGUGAGGAAUAUUGGUCAAUGGGCGCAAGCCUGAACCAGCCAUCCCGCGUGCAGGAAGACGGCCCUAUGGGUUGUAAACUGCUUUUCCAGGGAGAGAAACUUACGCACGUGUUGCGUGACUGACGGUACCCUGGGAACUAAGCAUCGGCUAACUCCGUGCCAGCAGCCGCGGUAAUCGACGAGAGGUA
rnacentral:rRNA from 1 species